rnacentral:lncRNA from 1 species
UUCGUUACACAUUAACUGAGUUUUAACGGAAUGAUGAGAAAAUACUAACAGUUUAAACGUUUAGUGGUAAAUUAAUGGUUUUACCAAAUCAUGAUACUAACAUAAUGUAUCAGAAUAUCUUUGGUGGGAAAAUGAUAAUAUCCAUUUAUUCUUUUUGGAGAUAUUCAAACAAAUUAAUGAGUUUGAUUUUCAUAUAUUUUUCGCCUUUAAAAAAUAUACAUAUACAUGCACGGGCAAAAACGUACUUUGAUAUAAGGGGUCUAAGCUGUCAUUUGACAGUUUCUUUGUUGGCCUAGGCAGCAUGACUUGACUUCUCUGCCUUUCGAUUGAAAAGAAGAGACACCUACCAUAUCAAACACGUGAUUCUCUUCUUUACCCUCGGGGGAAAAUCUACCAUGUAUUCGCUCGUACCUUAACAAACAUCUUUUUUAUGAAUUUCCAAAUGAUGAUUGGUCAAAUAAUUUUGCACAUUGUAUGAUUAAAUUCUUCAUCCCAAAUUACAUUCCUUUCACAAUCUUUUAAAGGAUAUAAAUAAAUUUUUUUUAUAUUACU